AGUAACGGCGAGUGAAGCGGCAACAGCUCAAAUUUGAAAUCUGGUCCCCUUGCGGGGCCCGAGUUGUAAUUUGAAGAGGAUGCUUCUGGCAAGGUGCCUUCCGAGUUCCCUGGAACGGGACGCCGCAGAGGGUGAGAGCCCCGUACGGUAGGACGCCGAGCCUCUGUGAAGCUCCUUCGACGAGUCGAGUAGUUUGGGAAUGCUGCUCAAAAUGGGAGGUAAACCCCUUCUAAAGCUAAAUACCGGCCAGAGACCGAUAGCGCACAAGUAGAGUGAUCGAAAGAUGAAAAGCACUUUGAAAAGAGAGUUAAAAAGCACGUGAAAUUGUUGAAAGGGAAGCGCUUGCGACCAGACUCGCGCCCGUCGGAUCAGCCGUCGCUUGUCGGCGGCGCACUCCGGCGGGCUCGGGCCAGCAUCAGUUCGCCUCGGGGGGAGAAAGGCGGCAGGAAUGUGGCUCCUCGGAGUGUUAUAGCCUGCCGUGUAAUACCCCCGGGCGGACUGAGGACCGCGCGUAUGCAAGGAUGCUGGCGUAAUGGUCGUCAGCGACCCGUCUUGAAACACGGACCAAGGAGUCGUCCUAAUAUGCGAGUGUACGGGUGUCAAACCCCUGCGCGUAAUGAAAGUGAACGGAGGUGAGAGCUUCGGCGCAUCAUCGACCGAUCCUGAUGUUCUCGGAUGGAUUUGAGUAAGAGCAUAUUGGGCCGGACCCGAAAGAAGGUGAACUAUGCCUGUGUAGGGUAAAGCCAGAGGAAACUCUGGUGGAGGCUCGCAGCGGUUCUGACGUGCAAAUCGAUCGUCAAACAUGGGCAUGGGGGCGAAAGACUAAUCGA
rnacentral:rRNA from 1 species